AUUGAACGCUGGCGGCAGGCCUAACACAUGCAAGUCGAGCGGAGCGGCGGACGGGUGAGUAAUGACUAGGAAUCUGCCUGGUAGUGGGGGAUAACGUCCGGAAACGGGCGCUAAUACCGCAUACUAUCAGAUGAGCCUAGGUCGGAUUAGCUAGUUGGUGGGGUAAGGGCCUACCAAGGCGACGAUCCGUAACUGGUCUGAGAGGAUGAUCAGUCAGACUGGAACUGAGAGACGGGCCAGACUCCUACGGUAGGCAGCAGUGGGGACUGUUGGAGAAUGUGCGAAAGCGUGAUCCAGCCAUGCCGCGUGUGUGACGAAGGUCAUCGGGUUGUAAAGCUCUUUAAGUUGGGAGGCGUUACCAGCAGAAGAAGCACCGGCUAACUACGUGCCAGCAGCCGCGGUAAUAC
rnacentral:rRNA from 1 species